rnacentral:lncRNA from 1 species
AGGUCCCCGGGUGGUCGUGGAAGAGCCAGUCCCCCGUGGAGCAUGCCCGGGGGUGAUGCCAGUGCGUGUGGCCCUGGGGUGGCCUCGUGACCCGAGACGCCUGGGCUCGCAGCGUCCCCUCGCCCGUGUCCACUCGGUGCCUGGUGCCUGCCCCAUGCCUUGCACAGGAGCAGCCGUGCCCUCUGCUCACAUGCUGCCGGUGGGCCCCUGGAGGCUCCGACAGCCGCGGUCCGCCCGGAAGCACACAGGUCCCCUGGACUUGGCCCCAGCUCCUUCCCUGGCGCAGGUCAGCUGGUCACCCUGUGUCUGAGGCUGCAUGUCCCCUUGAAGCCCCAUCGCUCCUGCGGGAAGCUGCCCUGGGCCUGAGCAGGACAGCUGGUCCCGGGCACGUCCCCCCAGCCUGUGACGUGAGCACGGGGGCUCGGGGGUGGGCGAGCCGACUUCCCAGCUCGGCCGACAUCUUCGCUUUGUCCGCAUGCUGGCCAGGUUUUCCCGUGGCUGUUCCCUGGAGGAAGGCAGCGGCCUGGCCUCACCGGGGGUGCAGCUGCCCACGUCUGUCUUGGGCACCGCCUCCGUGCUGCAGCGCCGGUCCCCCAGCGAGGAGUACGUGGAGGUCGGCCGCCUUGGGCCCUCCGACUACUUUGGUGAGUGUCCCCUCCCGUGGGUCCUGGGGGAGCUCUCAGGGGGCGGGGGCUGAGCCGCCCUGCAGCUGGGACAGAGGGCUCCGCGGAGUCUCCCCAGACCCUGUUCCAGGGUGUCGGUCCAGCAUUCCUACACCUGGAGCCCGGUGGGUGUGAGGGAGGCCGGUGCCACAGCCCACGGUGCCAGCCACGCAGGGGCCUCUCAGAGGGGGGUCGGCCAGGAUGUGGAAGUGCUCUGGGCACUUCAGGGACUCACGUCCACUCAGGCCGCUGCUGGCACGUGGCAGGCUCUGCGGCUUCCCCUCCGGCCAGCACUGCCCUGAAGGUGAGCCGUGUCCGCCCCAACGCCUCGGCCCCUCGUGCCCCUGACGCCUCUCCCCCCUCCUCCCCCCUCCUCCCCCCCGCCCCUCCUCCGCCUCCCCGGGAGAUUUUGCUG